rnacentral:rRNA from 1 species
GACGAACGCUGGCGGCGUGCUUAACACAUGCAAGUCGAACGGAAAGGCCCUGCUUUUGUGGGGUGCUCGAUUGGCGAAGGGGUGAGUAACACGUGAGUAACCUGACCUUGACUUUGGGAUAACUUCAGGAAACUGGGGCUACUACCGGAUAGGAGCUCCUGCUGCAUGGUGGGGAGUGGAAAGUUUCGGCGGUUGGGGAUGGACUCGCGGCUUAUCAGCUUGUUGGUUGGGUAGUGGCUGACCAAGUCUUUGGCGGGUAGCCGGCCUGGGAGGGUGGACGGGCUCCAGACGCCUGAGGUAGGCAGCAGUGUCGUACGUGCGGCAACAGUGGGGAGUCUGGCACAGUGAGCCGAAGUCUGAUACGGCGGCCCUCCGUGCGGGAAGCCGUCCUUUUGGGUAAGAACAGCUGUAGCCUGUGACGACGCGUUAGUGACGGUACUGAAUAAAGAAGCACCGGCUAACUACGUG